AUGGCCUUGUGCUCACCAUCGCAGAGUCGCGCGUGCCCUGCACUGGCCGUCACCAUGGCCGUUGAGCACGACCUGCGCCGCGUGCCGUCGGGACCGUCGGCACCACCACUUCUGGCCACACUUUCUGGAGGCCUCCCACAGCCUCCACCAUCCCACCUUGCAACCGCUGUGCCUCCUGCCUCAGAUCAACGCCCAGGCGGAGGAGAAGACACACACAAGAGAAAGAAGGGGAGAGGGCCUUGCCGGAGAAUUCAACCUCACCUGGACUUCUGCCCGUCGGAAUGCCUCGUCGGUGAGCCGUAG
rnacentral:rRNA from 1 species